CUGCAUGAAGCCGGAAUCGCUAGUAAUCGCGGAUCAGAAUGCCGCGGUGAAUACGUUCCCGGGUCUUGUACACACCGCCCGUCACACCAUGGGAGCCGGGAAUGCCCGAAGUCAGUGGCCCAACCGAAAGGGGGAGCUGCCGAAGGCAGGCCUGGUGACUGGGGUGAAGUCGUAACAAGGUAAC
rnacentral:rRNA from 1 species